CUUCGGUCCGUAAACCCCUGUCAUUUGUGAACAAGGCUUACGCGUGAAUAGCGCGUGAGUUGAUAGUAGCAAAAGAGGAAGGGACGGCUAACUCUGUGCCAGCAGCCGCGGUAAUACAGAGGUCCCGAGCGUUGUUCGGAUUCACUGGGCGUAAAGGGUGCGUAGGCGGCUUUGAAAGUCUGAUGUGAAAUCUCCGGGCCCAACCCGGAAAUGGCAUUAGAAACUGCAGGGCUAGAGGCUUGGAGGGGGAACUGGAAUGCUCGGUGUAGCAGUGAAAUGCGUAGAGAUCGAGCGGAACACCAGUGGCGAAGGCGAGUUCCUGGACAAGACCUGACGCUGAGGCACGAAAGCCGGGGGAGCAAACAGGAUUAGAUACCCUGGUAGUCCCGGCUGUAAACGGUGCACGUUUGCUGUGAGAGGAAUCGACCCCUUUCGUGGCGGAGCUAACGCGAUAAACGUGCCGCCUGGGGAGUACGGUCGCAAGAUUAAAACUCAAAGAAAUUGACGGGGGCCUGCACAAGCGGUGGAGUAUGUGGCUCAAUUCGAUGCAACGCGAAGAACCUUACCUGGCCUUGACAUGCACGUGGUAGAAGCCCGAAAGGGUAACGACCCCGCAAGGGGAGCGUGCACAGGUGCUGCAUGGCUGUCGUCAGCUCGUGUCGUGAGAUGUUGGGUUAAGUCCCGCAACGAGCGCAACCC
rnacentral:rRNA from 1 species